GAUAGCUCAGUUGGUAGAGCACUCGGCUGUUAACCGAGUUGUCACAGGUUCGAGUCCUGUUC
rnacentral:tRNA from 1 species